GCUGCCUCCCUGGGUUUGGCGCCACAGCACCACUGGGAUCUGCGCUGGUCCCGGUGGUUCUCACAGGCAGCCCAGCCCCGGCCUGGCUGCUUAAGCCUGGGCUUGGCUGAUUGUGAGAACAGCCUCUGUGACACAGAACAGGAGGUUGGUAGAAGAUGAACACAUUUAAGAGAAAGGGUCAGCUCAUCUAAUUUUUACUGUACAUGCAAAGAAAGUGCUUGGAGAAUUUGGGGUUUAGAAAGUACAAUUACACAAAUCAUUAUUUAGCUGAAAUGCACAAAUUAGCAAAUCUACUGUUUAUGAAAAGCAUUCUGGGAUCUUUAACAACCGCAACCACUCAGGACCUCUUAUGUCUCCUCUGAAAAACCACGUCUUCAGUAGUUCAGUGUCUCAAAACAGAAGGAUGAAGUUGAAUCAUUAAAACCACUUCCUGCUGGAUUUAGGAACCCCUUGGCAGCCACCCUUCCAGGAGCUGAGCCAGCAUGACUUUGUUUACUACGCAAGACAGCUACAUAAAGAACUGAAAGUGAAUGUGUGCAAGAAUGGAAAAACCAGAAACAUAAUUUAGACUAUACAUCGAAUCUUGACCAACUCAUCCACUUCAGUCAACCUUCACAGGCUGUUAGCAGAGAUAAUCAGAGCUUCCUGAGUCAGAGGUUCUGAAAAAGGAAGGACUGCACGUUGAAGAAACACAGACACCUGAGUCAUAUAUCAGUUCAUACCAAUGGAAUCGCUAGGGACUGGGCUCACAUUUACAGACGGCUCUCCACUUCUGUUAAAAUCCCCCAUCCCCCACUGUGACUCACUAUACUGAACUUUUGCUUGUUGCUGCUGAUACUGUGUCCGCUAAAUGUCUGCUAAUAAUACUUGGUAUAAGCAAGGGUGUAGGGCGCUCUUUGGCAGCCAGAGGACAAAGUCCUUGGGUGGCUUCCUUGCCCCCUAGGAUUUCCAAUUGUGCACGCGUGCCCCAAACCCACGCUCUCUGCACCUGAUGUCAGAUGCAGGGGGCAGGGCCAAUACCAGGGACGGUAUGUACUUGAUGUUUAGCCAUUCUAAGCUGUAAUUCUGUUGCAACAAUACAGAAAAUGACAUGCAAUGAGAAAGAGAAAACUUACAGUCACAUUUUAUUGUAUUAUUUUGUUUUAUUAUUAGAUUCUUAUUGAUGCUGCAAAAAGUAACUGUUGUUUUAUAGCAGCUUCCCUCACAAAUACAAAGUCAUCUUAUAUAGA